rnacentral:rRNA from 1 species
UACGAAGGUGGCAAGCGUUGUUCGGAUUUACUGGGCGUAAAGGGAGCGUAGGUGGUUAGGUAAGCCCUCCGGGAAAUCUUCAGGCUUAACCUGAAAAGGUCGGGGGGGACUGCCUGGCUAGAGGACGGGAGAGGAGCGCGGAAUUCCCGGUGUAGCGGUGAAAUGCGUAGAGAUGUGGAGGAACACCAAUGGCGAAGGCAGCCUUCUGGGCCAACACUGACGCUCAUGCACGAAAGCGUGGGGAGCAAACAGG